CCGCCAUCGCGGCGGUCGUCUACCCCGGUACCUGACACGGCCGGAGAGA
rfam:Nocardioides sp. Root1257 contig_2, whole genome shotgun sequence.